AACGAACGCUGGCGGCAUGCCUAACACAUGCAAGUCGAACGUGAUCCGGAGCUUGCUCCGGUGAAAGUGGCGCACGGGUGAGUAACGCGUGGGAACCUGCCCAGAGGUAGGGAAUAACCGCGGGAAACUGCGGCUAAUACCCUAUAUUCCAUUCGGGGGAAAGAUUUAUCGCCUUUGGAUGGGCCCGCGUCGGAUUAGCUAGUUGGUGAGGUAACGGCUCACCAAGGCGACGAUCCGUAGCUGGUCUGAGAGGAUGAGCAGCCACACUGGGACUGAAACACGGCCCAGACUCCUACGGGAGGCAGCGGUGGGGAAUAUUGGACAAUGGGCGCAAGCCUGAUCCAGCAAUGCCGCGUGAGUGAUGAAGGCCUUAGGGUUGUAAAGCUCUUUCGGCGGGGAAGAUGAUGACGGUACCCGCAGAAGAAGCCCCGGCUAACUUCGUGCCAGCCGCCGCAGUAA
rnacentral:rRNA from 1 species